GAGACUCCAUCACCCAACCCCCCCCCCCACAAAAAAAGUCUGGCACGUCUCUGAGCCAGUGACCACAGAAGAGCAGAAAUCCAGGGAGAACAAGGGAUUGACCUGGGUAGUACUGAGCUGGAAGGUAAAAACAAUGAACAAAAAGAAGUUCAGAUUCCUUACUCAGGAGUGACAGUGUCAACAGGAAACAUCUGCCAAACCAGGAGGACCAGCUAGAAGCUGGUGUCCCAGGAGUGAUAGAUUGUCUCUGAUCCUGCCUUGCUGCCUCAUGUAAAUGCCCUGAGCGAAGUGUCAGACAAGAGAAUGGAUGAGUCCACCACCAUUUAUAAAAUCUAAACUAACCUAGAGCCCCUGUGGCUCACUGGAUGGACGUUGCAGGUACGAAGUAAAACAGCAAACCUGCAAAAGUAUGUGAAUUUACACAAUGGCUGUUUAGCGUUAGACGGGGAAGGUGGUAUGAAGACAUGGCAGGCCUCUGUACACAGCAGGACAAUGCACCAAGGAAAUUGAACUACUAUGUGUGAAUUCUUUCUCCUGGGACUCAUGGUGAGGUCUAAAGAGCAGCAGUUUAUCUUCACGCUGUUUCUAUGCACGUAUCUGGUGACUAUGAGUCUGAAGGUCCAAAAGAACAUUACCUAUACUGCAAGUCAUCUGGAAGUUUACCUCAAGAGGGACAGGGAUUGAAAACGCUGUCCAAAAGAAGGAAAGAAAAUAACUUGAAAAUAAAUACAGAUGUGGAAAAAACUAAAAGAGUAUGAGGAAUCAAAUGAAAAUUUCAGUUCAAAGUAAUAUACUUACGUAUUAAACAUUUUUUAAAAUAAGAAA